rnacentral:miRNA from 1 species
UCGAAACCAUCCUCAGCUACUA